AUCACAACAAUGGGUUAGUUGGGCAAUUGUUUCUGAUUUAGUUGCCAUGGUUAUUGAGGUCAUCCCUUUAGCUGUCAAGCACAUUUAGUUGAAAGAUACUAAGAUAUUACUUAGUUCCUUAACUGAGUUUUAGCAGUUGCAAAUCUGGUCCAAUUCUGAUCUUGCACAAAUAAGUGGAUAAAAUGAACUGCAAAGACAUCCCGGUAAACAAAUUUGAGAGGCAAUACAAUAAACUUGUAGCCGAACUUCACAGCUACCAAAAAAAGGUAUCUGAAAGCAAGAAGCUUGUAGCUGAAAUACGCAACGAAAUUCACAAUACUGAAGGAAGUGUCGAAGAGCAGGAAGAGAGAAAAGUUCAACUCGAGGAGAGAGCUAUGGCAAGCUGGAAGUCUCUCAAAGAAGUGAGAUACAACAUGCAGCGUAUAUCACGAGAAAUGGACAUGCUCAAAAAUAAGAUGCUCAUGAAAAUAGAAAGCCAAAGAAGGAACCAUGAAGGGUACUUUUAGUUUCUGUCAUAAAGAGUUUAAAGCUUUAAAAGAAAACAUUUUUUUGACCAACUAGAUGCAGUUGCAUCCACAUAUUAAAUCUUUGUAUGAAUCUAAAUUAAUAGUGAACAGGAGAGGGUCACAUUUAGAAGAUGACUGCUACAAAGGAAGAGGAUUGGUAAUGAAAAAAAAACAUUAGAACUUAUUUUGAAUUCUUGUGUGCCCACAAAGUCUCACCUUUAAGAAUAUCAAUGGCUUCAUCCUUUGAACGAGUGAUAUUAUCCUCUCUCCAUGAAGAUGGUCGCCGUGAUCCUUUGUGCUUCACAAGCAAAUGGCUGCAUUGAACUUUUGAGGGACCAGACCCCGCCUGUUCGGCAGGUUCAGUGGGAGUUUCCCACUGGCUUUCUUUAGUGUAGAGAUUCAAGUAAUAGGAGUGGCCUGAAAAAUAAAUUGAACAGUUAGUAUGUCAAGUAGCCAACAAGAAAUCUCUGAAAGCUCCACAGCAAAUCAAAUCUAAAAUUCAUGAACUGACCCAAUGAUGUACUAUAUUUCGAGAACAACAAAUUGGCUGAAGAAGCAAAUGUGAAUCUAAACUAACCUCCAACCCUCAUGACAAGAGAAACAAUCCGUCGGUACAAAGAGGUAUACCACCAUAGUGAUGAAGCGAGACAAACCUGUCGAGCGGCUAGUGCGCUUUUCCCAUCCUUCAGGAAGAAUUUCGUCCGACAUGACAAUGUGUGGCUUUCGUACGGUGUACAAAUAAAUUAAUUUCUAGGGUGUCUGUAA